CAGAACAUAUAACAACUGAAAUAAGUUUCAGACACAUUAAAUUUAAUAGCUUUGUCAAUAAGAGUCAAGAUUUUGGGUGAUGCAUAUAUAUAUAUAUAAUAUUAAUAGUAACAGUUAUCAUUCAUUUGCAAAUUGGUGCCCCAGCUCCACUUGAAGCUGGGCAGAUCAGCUUUUUUUUUAUAAGACAUCUGUUGAGUUCUGCAAUACAUAGUCUAGUUUUUAAUGUACAUGUAUACAGACCAUGUCACUUGAAAACAUGGCUCACAAAACAUUUGUGGAAUGAAUGAAGCGAGCAUAUGACCAGAUGAAGAAAAAUUCCAAUCAUGCACAGUUGCGACACAGUUUGUUGGUCCACAGCACCCAGCGCUCACAAUGUUCUCCUUAAACAGAAUUUAUCAGCAACAACCACGACUUUCCGCAAUGUCACCCAGCGAAUGAGAUAUGCGCCACUUGCGUACUGAUCUUUUGAACGACUUAUUUCUAAAUCUUCAUGGUUACUACUACAAUUCUCAGUCUGUGAGAUGGGAGGUGGUGUUUACAAAAAAAAUCCAGACAACUUUUGGAACUGGCAUGGACUGCUUGAAACAUGUCACGUCACUGCACCAAUGAACAAACAAAUAAACAAGUGGAAAAAUUAUCGGUGAGCACAGCAGGACAGUCUCCAAACUGUCUCAAAUGCUUGAAAAAAAUAUCAUCACAAAAAUAGUUUGAAGCGAAGGGACUAACAAGGUUAGAUAUAUACUUUUCUUCUCUGUUUUCGCAUCAAGGGCCGUAUAAAUGGCAAGGAGUCCUGUACAAAAUGAGGUGUACUCACGACAACAUGUAAGGUACAACAUUCUUUAGUCACCUCUCAACUUGUCUCGCACCACCAUCCACGAGCACCACACAAACUCUCUUUUCCAAGCUCACCAUGCAGAACAUCAAAAUCUCCUAGCAACACCACUACACGGACGACACGACGCUUCAUUCAACUAAUGACCACAUUCAACACCUAAUACUUUCCACAAAAUUCUGCACGAAAUAAAUCCCCAACAGGGCAUAUGUAUCUUCAUAAGGCUGGCCAUACAAAAGAUUUGCGGUUUCACCACCCCACUCUCAAGAAACAACACUUUUCAGAAAAAACAGAUCGAAAGCACUCAUCUCCUCACAGAAAGAGAGGAUGAAGGAUUGAGGAGAGAGGGAGUGUGGUAGAUUAAAAAAAAAUGCAACAGAGGCAUUUUUUUCCUUUAAUCAAAAUAAGUGUGUCGGAGGGCAAGGUCGGUGUGGAUGGAGAAAAGGCAUGUAAAAAAACUAAAUAAAUAAAUCUCAGACGUUGCAAUAAUUAAAAUAUAGUCAUUUUAAAAGCCAGCAGCCAGCUUUCAUAAUAUCAGCGCUUAAUCGACAGACUCUAAGUUUGUUCCGAUUAGCAGACCCCUGCUCAGUGGCUUCUCUCGUACAGUUAACAGCUGCAGAGAAGCGGUGCCAUGGCAAGGUUUGUGCGGCAGGUGUCAAGAUUUUAAAAAACCCCACAAAGUUAAACCCCUUCUCCCCAUCAACAAUCUCUGCAGCAUCACAGAACUUUCCAACCUGCUGUAAACGAAAGCCCAAACUCCCGAACUUGUAUGCUUACAUGGCAUCAUUUAGCAUUAUCUUCCCCCCUCUCCCAGCUCAUUUGCAUAGCAUGGAGUUCAUGAUGCAUCAAAAUAAAUUGGCGCUGCAAAGUGGCGCUACAUCAAUUAAAAGCAAAAUCCAAGUUUUGCUUUAAAAAAAAGUCACAGACCCGCAGAGAACUGUGCAUCCGUAUCAUUUAGCACUUCUUCGCACAAGAAUGGAGCCAGUGUGGCUCACUUCAGACACGGCCCUAGGUAGACAUUUGACAAAUGGACUAGCUCUGCGGUUUUCAAUCACUGCUUCAACUACGCGAAACAACAGCUUCUCACAUACUGGUGUAUAUAAAUGUAACACUACAACAUGGGCAAACGGGGUGGGCUUCAUUUUUUUUCUGAAACAAAAUCUAUAUUUGUUAUUAUAAAAAAAUUACAAUAAAUGAGCAGUCACGUCAUGGUAAAAUAUUUUAAAAAAAACUGAUUAGAACCUAUGUAUUGGCAUCGUGCAUUGAAGAUUUGUGUUAUUCUGUGGUUGUUUACUGCCAAUAAAAUGUAUACCAAAGAUCUCUGCCGAUUAAAAAUAUCAAAAUACUCUGAAAAUAAAACACAUGUAGGAAUCUUGAACACGAUAGGACGAAGCCAAGAAGCUAUCAAUGUCUAAAGACCCCCGCACCCCCCCACACCCAAAACAAACAAACAAACAAACAAAAAACGAAAAAAAAAAACAAAAAAACAAACAAAAACAAUUUUUUAUACCUAUCAGAUCUACCAGUAAAGCUGGGAAAAAAUCCCUACACGAUCCUUUGCGCUAGCCAGUCAACGAGAAAAAUGAGAGACAAAAGCAAAAAAAAAGUACUGUAGUCGGUGGAUGGGGGCGAACAUCCAUAAUUUAUGCAUAAAUAUUCUCAGCAGAUCACGCGAGUAGUGUUUUAAGACGUGCUAAGACAAAACUUGUGUUUUCUAAAGACCACAAGGCAAGACACCCGUUCCCUUCCCACCCCCGACUUUUAAAAACUGUUUAUGGCUUUUCUGAACACCACUACUAUCAAUGUCCAUUUGUCUGAAGAGAUAGGAGUAACACAUAUCUAUCAACAGUCUUUACAAACCCUAACCCUAUCUGUCAUCUGGCACCUUUUCUCAAUCUAAAUCACUUCAGCAGAAGAUGGACCAGUUCCAAAACAGGUCCCCACCCCACUACCCCGGUGUGGGUACCGGUCACAAGACUAGCAUCACAGCACAGAAUGUAGGGGCCAGGUGCAGGGAACGCUCAUGGCUAGACAGGCACGUGACAGCGGCAGGUUGUGCUGUUAAAGUCCAGUUCUGCGCUGUCGAGACAUUUACUAAUUUUGGAUGAAACUAAAAAAUAGUAUUUACCUAGUAUGGUAGACUGAAUUUUGUUUUUAAUACAAACCAUAAUUUUCAAAAACACAAAAAUAUACCCUAUAACACUAAAAAUACUUCCUUAUUCACACUGCUGCAUGUAAAACAAAAAUAUCCAGUUAUCUUACCCUGCUUUGGUGAGCUGAUGCAUACCCUGACAAAUACCAAGCAUGACCUGAACUCUUCAAACAUUCAAUGACUUCGAGCAUUAUAUAUAUUUAAAAAAAUAAAGAGGUGUUACAAGAUGCAGAAGAAGGGUGUGAAGAACAUUUACUAAUAGUUUACACUGUUAGUUCCUAUGAAACGCUGCAGGGCUAAAAUUCAUUGACAACAGAACUGCUAACAGGAAAAUCCUUCAGCGACCUCCCUGUACAGUCUGCAAUGCCAGAUAAUAACUUGACAAGCAAGAUCAACCUCUUUGUCACUCUCUAGCGACCUAAGACCUAAAGGGGAAAAGACUUUGUGAAAUUUUGCGUAGAGACAGACUUAUACAGAAAUAAUGUAUACAAACCAGGACUUCAUAGUUCAGAAAAGAAACAGCAUGGUACUUGGACAAUGCAUGUUCCAAACUCCACUGCACAGAGUACAAUCAACUGAAGCAGCUUCGUCUGGGUGUAGGUAUUACAGACCCCUCAGGACUGGGGUGGGAGGUGAGAGGAAGUACAGUUAGCUGGCUACUAAGUACACAGAUGCUGUUGCUCUGACUACUCAUGAGACUUCUGAAUAUUUCAUGGACUGAGUACAUUUACAUCCAAAGCAGACUAGAUAUGCAAGCCAAUUCAUCAGUCACUUCUUGUCAUAAUUAAGGAGGAAACUGUCAUGGUUUGGCCCUGUAAUUGGUGGCACACCCCUCUGAGACUAACCAACAUGGUAUGUUGGUAGGAGGGAGGCAACACAAAAACUGGUCUAGACCAAAGCCUUAGAUGCCAUCUGGACACUCCAACCUUGCUAUUUCUAGCAGAUAAAAGAGCACAGUCAGUUGCUGCAUCUUCCAUGUUACUUUACCAAAUGCAAGUCAAUGACUCAAACUUAACUAGUGGUAAUACAGCCAGACAGACUUAAGGAAAUGCCUUCCAAACUUUCCUCUUCAGCUCAGAGGAUGACCAUACACCGGAGAAAUUAUAUAAACAGCUUAACCCUAAAGCACUGGCAAACCAAAAGAAGAAAAGAAGGUGAAAUAAAUAAAAGGUUUCAAAUGACAAUUUGGAAAUGGAAUGUAAGCAAAAAUAUGCCAUAACAAACUGAAAUAAAUGUGAUCACUAUGCCCAUAGCAGUACUCCAGAAAAGAAGUUUUACUGUUGCACUGUGUGGUGACUAGACAGAAUCAUUUCUAUAGAUUUGGUUUCUUUUUCACAGGGAACUCCAAAUAUGCAUAUCAUAAAAUAGUUUGGGUGUAUAUACAGCCAUGGAAUAGCUCUAAUCGGCUCCAGAUUAAAAAGAAUAAUAAAAACCAUGGAAAGUUCAAAUGAUUCUGAUAAUAUAUUUAACCAGUUUAAAAAGGACUUUGAUGAUUAUUAAAAAGAGUGAAAAAACAGCCCAGAUUCUGAACAAUUGGAAAGCCCUAUUAACACAAGGCAUUGUUUCCCCAUCCCAGUUUAAAACACGAAAAUCACUGAUGGCAAGAAAAUAUAAGAUAGGAUCACACACCCAUUUUUGUUUGUAAAGCAGCAGUGGCCAGCAUACAAAUACAUUUUAUCAAAGAAUCCUGGUGAAUCUGUGAACACUGGUUUUGUUUCCUGCUUCAUGGCGUUAAGCCUUGUUGCACCUACUUUCACCUACCACUAUGAGAAUGAACAGCUCUAAUGAAAAUAAUACACUGUGUGGGCAAAAAAAAAAAAAAGAGAGAGAAAGAUAAAAGUAAUGCAAUUCAUGUUAAGGAAUUCUGUUACCUACACUGCUUCAGUCAUUCAAUAUCCACAAGAAGGAUCUUGUCUGCAUUUUAUACACAAAGAGAUUUAUAAUUCUUUCUCACCUCAUCUUAUGCUCAAGUGUUUAGCAGCUUUGAUUUGAUUUCAAAUUGGUGUCAUAGUCAUAGAAGUUGCACACAAGGUUCAACAGUAACCAAAGCACCUUUUGUAAAGGCUUAUUCAAUUUCCACCAAGAUCACACAUUCACUUGCACUGCCCCGCAAACUGAAUAACGACAUCCCUCCUCCCAAAUUAAACUCGAAGAAGUAACCAUGAAAUAAAAUAUUAAACAGACAGAAGAUAAAUACAAGAUAAUGAAAUUGUAGAUGGAGGCCAGAUAAAUACAUUUUAGGACAAAUUGCAUAAUAAUCAAAAACAGAUUUAAUAAAAAAAACCCAACUAACUUAUUUCAGCAACAUGUUAAUAAAAUAGUCUCUUGACGCUGUACAUAUGACACAGCACUUCCUGUAUCUUCAACCAAAAAACUUGCUGGAAUUUCUUGCUCACUUUAACAGAUUUUGAGCUGCCAUUGCACUAGUCUAGGCCGGUCAUUCAUGACAUGUCAUUCUUGGGAUAACAAAUUCAUAACCGUUUUAAGCAUGUACAGGAAAAAGUGGUGGUAAGAACUGGCAGAACUGGCUGUGGUACAUGAACACUGGAUCCUGAUGUGGUGAAUCAGGAUGUAAAGGGACUGACUUUACAUGGCAGUACUUUGCGACAACACUGAAACAAGCUUCGUCUGUAGUACAUUCACUCACACUCACUUGCACACUGCAUGAGGUAAUGGGCCAGCACAUAACUAAAAAAAAAAAAAAGAAACAAAAUUCUUUAACAAAAGGAUAUUAAACCCCAAUCAACCCUUCUUGAGAGCCUUUUCAUAUAUAUAUAAAAACACCCCAGGUUAUGACCUGCACAUACUAUACUUGAUCAAUGACCAACACUGCUCUGAUCCAGGCAAACAAAGCACAAAAAUGACUAUAAGCCAGCAAGAAUAAAGAAGUGGUCUAAAGUUGUGCCAAUAAAAUCCAGAAUUCUUAUUUGGAGUAAUGGUCACAGAUUAGAUUGGUCUGGGAAGGUUCAUAGGCUGAGAUGAUCUUAGGAAGUCACAAUUAGCAACAAUUUACUGAUAGCGUGUGUUGUUAGUAUUAAAGUGAUCUACAGACAAAUUACAAAUGGUUAAACAGUCCGAGGAUGUUCUAUGUUUAAAGCUCAAGCAACAAUAUUCCCACAUGUUGGAAAAAAUACAAAUAUUGUUGAUUGUUCAACCCUUUAGCAGUAAUAAAGGAAAAUGGAGUCUAUUUCUUUGAUAAAUUAGUUUUUUCCACUACUUCUAAACCUAAAAGAACUCUGUGGCAGCUUGCAUUGUCAAAAAUUACAAUGAUCUGAAACAAAAGCUGAAAUUGCAGCUAUGAUGCUAGAUACAUAUUUUCAAGAUUUUUAAUGUACUCAUAAAUAUUACAAUAUUAUAUACAUAUCCCCUUGUUCAAAAAAGUAUAAAAGUGGUGCUUUUUUGCAAGCUUUAGCACCACAUAAGAAUCAGCACAAAUUUCAUAACUAAAGUCAGCUAGGCAUGAAUCCCAAGGAAAUAUUAAUCAUUUGGAACUAUUCUGAAGCUGUAAUCCUUGCCACACAAGAAAAAUUAUAUGAGCAAAGACUGCAGAGUAUGCAGUUAUAGUCUUUAAAUGCUGCUGUCUGUAUUAUUUACAUUUGCAACAAUCUAGCUUUUAUUAAUAAUUUCAAUGCAACAAAUAUUAGUAAGUAAAUACAACUCUCAUGAUAGCUAACACCAUCAAGGGAUAUUUAGGAAGUUCAGUGCUUCUCUACAGCCAUUCAAGGUAAACCAUUAGAUAAAUUUUUACAUAAUUUCUAUUUAUAACUGCUAAUACGAUUUAUAAACUUUUACAAUCUCCCCUCUUAAUAACAACCCUUUCCUAUAAGAUGUCAUUUCAAUACACUAAUUCUAACAAUCACCUAAAGCUUGCCUCAAAUUUUGACUGUCCCGACACCUAGUGUGCAAUAGAAACUAGGAUUUAGUCUAUGUUAUUAUAAAAAAACCCAAUACCCAGAAGUAUACAAUGUUGCGCAACUGCUCUGUCACUACCUUCAGUUUUCUGACACAAUUUCAUACUUUCUAAUUACAAGGGGAAAUGACUAGAAAAUUGAACCAUUUAUCAUGAAGUUGGACACUGACUGAAACUCCCAACAGUGGCUUAAUUCCAAAUAGUCCUACUGUCUGUUUUCAUAUCAAUACAGGCAGUCCUCGGGUUACCUCAGCUGCCGCGCUUGUGGAUUUUUUUUAUGUCUAUUGAUCUGAAAACAGACAAUAUGUGGUACAGCAAUGUGUAUUCAAAGGCCUUAGUGGUAAACACCCACACAUAACAAAUGUGUCAAAUGUUUCACGGAGAAACAGGAUAAAGUACAUGUGCCAAUAAAUUUUUUUUAAAUUAACAUUAAAGGGACAAGGACAUUGUGACUUUGCAUUUUCUAAGUACUCUAAUAACUUUAAAAUAUAUCUCAGCAUACCUAAUACUGAACUAAUUUCCUUAAAAAAAACUUCCUUUUUUUUUUUAGACCCUUAAGGACAACCACAGCCAUUUUUUCUUUAGUGGUAAAAGGAUAAAAAUAAAAAAGGGGUUGGAGGGGUAAGGAAAGUGGGUGUCCUCUUUAAUGACCGUUUCUUUCCUUCCAGUGAAACUGUAAACAAUGAGGUGAGAAACUCUAAACUGCAGGUGCAGAACACAUUUUAUUGCAACAAAGGUUUCUAGAUAAAAAAGAAAAUAUUUUUUUAUAUACAUAUCACUAUCAGUCUUCUAAAACAGAAAAAAGUUUAAAAAAAAAAAUAAAAAAAAAAUGAGGCAGGCCAGGAAGGAUUUCCAAAGACUUUAUUUUAUGAAAAAAACAAACCAGGCGGCUUUACUAAGUUCCCCCUCAAACAGCACUAGACUUUUGAGGUUCUCUUUAUCUUCAAUCUUUCCUAUUUUGUGCAUGUUCUAUAGACCUAUACUUAAAGCAAUUUUUUGCUAAAUAGCACCUCAACAAGUUCUUUCACCACACACGCUGGGCUUAACCUUCAAUUUCGAGUAAUCUUCCAAAAUCAGCAAAGCAUAUCUAUGAAAUUCAACCCACCAAAAUAUAAUACAAAAAUAAAAAUAAAAUAAGAAAUAAAUGGAUAAAAUCAAAAAUUUAAAAGCAGACCCAUGCAAAUGAUAAAAUCUCACAGCCAUUUAUCACUUGAUCUUACAUCCAUCCAAAUCUUUGGUUUCCAACUGUCACAUGGACAACCAUUCUGCCAUCUCAUCAACGUAAUGCAACCAGAUAAUCUUAAAUAACAUUUUUCUUUUGUAUUUAUCUUUUUAAAGAGAUCAGGACCAGGCUAUUGCUGCAUGCAACACAGAAGAUUGUCUUGCCAUCUAUUCACAAAAACUGCAGGUAAUGCUCAAAACAAAAGACGACUAUGACUGUGGGGAGCUUCACAAAAAUCUAGUAAAGUUUACAAAUGACACAAAUAUGCAGAUCAACAUUGGGUCAAAGCAAAUUUUACUAGACUGAACUUCUUCCAGCAUAUAAAAAGCUGUAUAUGUAUGAUUGCUCAUGGUAAACUAAGUAAUGCUUCUCUUUCUCUGUACACUUCUCUUUAGCUUUAGAGGUGCACCUGCCAUAAAAACAAUUAGACAAGUACUUUUUAAACCCUUUAAUUCUCAAAGACUACCUGUUCUUUACAAAACUUUUCUGAUUCAUGUUUUAAGCAAUAUUUUUUCUUUUUCUUGUGCAUAUCAACUGCACAGAGCAGCUAAAAUGUCCUCAGCAAAAAGAUACAAACAUGCAUGUCACUAACAAAACUAAAAAUGCAAGUCUCUACAUUAAAUCUAGGAUCUGACCACAACCCAACAAAAGCGUCGUGAAAACUGGACAUUUAAACCAUAUGACAGGUUUUAUCUACCAUGUUUGGCGCACCCAUAAAAUCAUCAAAAGCUUGAUGGCAAAAACCAUUCAUAUAUGGUUUAUCUGUUGCAUUCUUGUGAUCAAGGACGAUUUUUAUUUUUUGAACAUAAGAACAAGUGCAUCCAAAAUAAAGCUGUAGCAACCCUGCUGCCUUUGUAUCUCUCACUGACCCCACUCCAGAGCAACAAGAUUACAAUUAUCCCAAUCUAUAAAUCAAACAUUUCUUGUCUAUGCACAAAUUCUUUUUCUCUCUCUGCUAUAGUUUAUACUGUUAUCACAGAGCAUGGUGUCUUGUCCUUGCUAAACUUCAAUGACUUUUACUUGUGUCUGCACCACUUAUGUGCUCUAUCACAGCCCUGUUGUUCAACAGUUGUGCACAGCUAUUAAUCAACUGACAUCUAUUCAAACUGUUGUCAGCAGCAGGCUGUUCAAGGCAAGUGAAGGCUGCGUAGGAAACCCCGUGGGGACAGGUACAGGUCUGCUGUUUCUUCUUUCUUUUUACACUUUAUCACGAAGACCACAUGCAUCACAACUGGCACAUGACUUGGCCAUCAGAAGCUGCAUGAAUGGGAUGACCCAAGCCCUUUUCAAGCACAGGUCUCCACUGACUCAUCAGUAUGACAGGCACAAUAUCCAUGGCAAUCUUUCAAGAAAUCUACAUUUCAUUUUCCUGAUGAUGAGGUGGGGCGGGGGGUAACAAAAUGGGCCAUCUCAUAUGCCAUAAAACAUUUGCACAUUGUGUGCAUGUGAGAGUGUCUGUGUAGGCACAUUCACACAUGCAUGACUGUAUAUGAAUUAUGGGUACACAAUGAGUGGCAUGGAAAGCGGGAACGAGGAAGGCUUCGUUAAAGUGUGGGUGAAAUACAAAGGAAUGGGAAAAAAGAG